GACGAACGCUGGCGGCGUGCCUAAUACAUGCAAGUCGAACGCAGUGGGGACGGGUGAGUAACACGUGGGUAACCUCCCAUCAGAGGGGAUAACACUUGGAAACAGGUGCUAAACCGAUACUGAUGUAUGGACCCGCGGUGCAUUAGCUAGUUGGUGAGGUAACGGCGCACCAAGGCUACGAUGCAUAGCCGACCGGAGAGUGUGAUCGGCCACACUGGGACUGAGACACGGCCCAGACUCCUACGGGAGGCAGCAGUAGGGAAUCUUGGACAAUGGGCGUAAGCCUGACGCAGCCAUGCCGCGUGUAUGAAGAAGGCCCUCGGGUUGUAAAGUACUUUCAGUCGGGAGGCGUUACCGACAGAAGAAGCACCGGCUAACUCCGUGCCAGCCGCCGCGAUAAUUC
rnacentral:rRNA from 1 species